CCUACGGGUGGCUGCAGUGGGGAAUAUUGCACAAUGGGGGCAACCCUGAUGCAGCGACGUCGCGUGAGUGAAGAAGUAUUUCGGUAUGUAAAGCUCUAUCAGGAGGGAAGAGCAGAACGGUGCCUCACUAAGAUGCCCCAGCUAACUACGCGCCAGCAGCCGCGGUAAUAAGUAGGGGGCAAGAGUUAUCCGGAUAUACUGGGUGUAAAGGGAGCGUAGAGGGCGGUGCAAGCCAGAUGUGAAAAGCCGGGGCGCAACCCCGGGACUGCAUUUGGAACUGUGUUGCGUGAGUGUCGGAGAGGCAGGCGGAAUUCCUAGUGUAGCGGUGAAAUGCGUAGAUAUUAGGAGGAACACCAGUGGCGAAGGCGGCCUGCUGGACGACGACUGACGUUGAGGCUCGAAAGCGUGGGGAGCAAACAGGAUUAGAUACCCUAGUAGUC
rnacentral:rRNA from 1 species